GGAUUAUGGCUCAGUGGUAGAGCACUUGCCUAGCAUGAAUGAGGCACUGGGUUCUAUCCCCAGCACCA
rnacentral:tRNA from 1 species